rnacentral:tRNA from 1 species
GGGGCCGGGUACCCUCCCACGCCGGUCUCGAAAACCGGUAUACGCGUAAGCGUAUCGGGGGUUCGAAUCCCCCCCCUCUCCG